rnacentral:lncRNA from 1 species
CACUGAAGCUGGGACAUUACAGAGCCAGGUUAAAAGGUAGGUCCUCCUGACCCCAAAGCCUGUGCCCUUAACCUCUUGCCUUACUAUAUCUCAGGGCUUGUGUGCCACUCGGGACCUCUGACUCUUGAGUUACAAGAGGGAGGAAGGACAGCAAUCCUUAGCACCAGGAUCUGCUGAGGAAGAAGAGAGCAGAGUGUGUGAAGUGCCUCCUCAUGGUGCCAGGUGACAUGAUGCGUGUCCUUGUACUCCCACCAUCCUCAAUGCUGUCCCGCUCCACCCAUCCUUCGGGACUAUUUCAGCCCUUCCGGCCGAGUUCUUGCUUCUGACCCCACCACACCCUAAUUCUGCAGCUACCAGCAGACGGAUCCUCCUCCCACAGCCUGCUUUUGUCCCACCACCUCCCUGGGCAGGAAUCUUCACUAGCUCCCCAUUGAAUGACAUCCAAACCCAGCCUAGCACACAGGGAUCUCCACACCACGGCCUCAGCUGACCGACCCUUUUAAUUCCAUCGCUUAAAAACAAUCUUGCUGAAGCCUGGAAGCACCGCACUGCCUUUCAGUGGGUGGAUGGCUAAGUGACCUGUGUACAUCCAGACAACAGGAUGUGACUGAGCACUCAAAAGAAACGAGCUGCCAGGCCCUGAAAAGACGUGGAGGGAACUUAAAUGCACUUCCUAAGUGAAAGAAGCUGGUCUGAAAGGCUGCAUGCUGUGGGAUGCCACCUUUACGGCAUUCUGGAAAAUCAAAACUAUGGAGAUGAGUGUGCACCAGCAAGAGUGAACCCGAAUGUAAACCCCAGGUGACGCCGGGUGAUGAUGAUGUGUCCGCCUGGGCUCAUCCAGGGUGGGACGCCGAAAUAGCACGGCUUGACGAGCGGUGCUAGAUCUGCACCAGGGAUCCGAGCCUGCGAACCCAGGCCAUCGAGGCAGAGUGCACGAACUUAACCGCUUCGCCACUAGCUGGCCCUUGCAUGUUUAUUUUAAUCAGAGAGAGACUGUAGCACGGCCUCCGGGUGGGAGCCUCCUUUCCCCUCUGUGAUGCAUCCUGGGCUUCAAGGGGUUAGCCCUCCAGUGAGUGGAUGCCCCUAACUCGCUGAAUUACCUCCUCUCCCUGCAUUUAUGGUGUGCCUUCUGUUUACUGCCCUUUCUGUUUUCUUCUUUUCCUUGACCUUUCACUUUACGUUUCAUUCAUCAAGUUUUUAUAGCCUCUCUGCCCACUUCUCCUGAUUUCUUUAAAUCUGCUGGUUUGGAAGAUACAGAUGGUGUUCCUAUUCUUUUAGCAGGCACCCUUAACUUCCCCUUUUUAUUGUGUCAAAGUUUACAGAAAAAUGCAUAAAAUACACAGUGCCAGCUGACUCGUUUCUGGGAAGCAUGCCCCUCCAAACAGCCCUCCCUCCCCCUCACAGGCCUCCCUCCAUCACAGCCCUCCCUCCCCAUCACAGCCCUCUCCAUCACAGCCCUCCCUCCAUCACAGCCCUCCCUCCCCAUCACAGCCCUCCCUCCCCAGCACAGCCCUCCUUCCCCCUCAUGGUCUUCCCUCCCCAGAGCAGCCACUGUCCUGGCCGAUGGUCAUCAGAUCCCCACUUUGCCUUCUGCUUCCAUCACCUAUGUGUGUGUCCCUAAACGUUAUGGUUUAGUUUGUUUGUUUCCCAAUUGAUAUUGGUGGAACCGUAUGAUAUGCAUUUUUAUUUUUGGGGUGGGUGGACUGGCUCCUUUCACUCAACACUUUAUUAAAGAUUUAUCUACGUUGUGUGUAGCCAUAGGCUGUUCAUCUUCAUUACUGUAUAUUGUUCCUUUGAAUGAAUAGCCGCAAUUUAUUUAUCCAUUCCAAUGUUGAUGGACGUUUGUUUUUUCCCCCCAGACUUUGGAAAUUACCAGCAAUACUGCUAUAUAUACAUAUUUUACACGGAUUCUGGUGUUUGUGUUUCUGUCGGGUGUAUACUAGAUGUGGAAUUGUGUGUCAUAGGGUAUACAUAAUUGUAGCUCAUUGUGGUUUUAACUUGUA